AUUGAACGCUGGCGGAAUGCUUUACACAUGCAAGUCGAACGGCAGCACGGGGGCAGCCCUGGUUGCGAGUGGCGAACGGGUGAGUAAUACAUCGGAACGUGCCCGGUCGUGGGGGAUAACGUAGCGAAAGUUACGCUAAUACCGCAUACGAUCUGAGGAUGAAAGCGGGGGACCUUCGGGCCUCGCGCGCUCGGAGCGGCCGAUGUCAGAUUAGGUAGUUGGUGGGGUAAAGGCCUACCAAGCCGACGAUCUGUAGCUGGUCUGAGAGGACGACCAGCCACACUGGGACUGAGACACGGCCCAGACUCCUACGGGAGGCAGCAGUGGGGAAUUUUGGACAAUGGGCGCAAGCCUGAUCCAGCCAUUCCGCGUGCAGGACGAAGGCCUUCGGGUUGUAAACUGCUUUUGUACGGAACGAAAAGGCUCUGGCUAAUACCUGGGGCUCAUGACGGUACCGUAAGAAUAAGCACCGGCUAACUACGUG
rnacentral:rRNA from 1 species